AUUGAACGCUGGCGGCAGGCCUAACACAUGCAAGUCGAGCGAGCGGCGGACGGGUGAGUAAUGUAUGGGGACUGCCCGAUAGAGGGGGAUAACUACUGGAAACGGUGGCUAAUACCGCAUACUAUCGGAUAACCCAUAUGUGAUUAGCUAGUAGGUGGGGUAAAGGCUCACCUAGGCGACGAUCGCUAGCUGGUCUGAGAGGAUGAUCAGCCACACUGUGACGGAGACACGGCCCCAACUCCGACGGAGGCAGCAGUGGGGAAUAUUGCGCAAUGGGCGCUAGCCUGCUGCAGCCAUGCCGCGUGUAUGAAGAAGGCCUUAGGGUUAUAAGGUACUUUCAGCGGGGAUGCGUUGCCCGCAGAGGAAGCAGCGGCUAACUCCGUGCCAGCCGCCGCGGUAAUAA
rnacentral:rRNA from 1 species